GACUAAUCGAUUACUUAAGGCUGUAUGACAUUUUCUUGUAUCAUUUCUAAUAUCGUUUCUGAUAUGUCAAAAAAAUGCAGAGUGUCAUACACCGGAAUGCAUACACCGUGAAGGCAUACAAUGCGUUCACCAGAAUAAUCCGAGUGCAAUCCGAUUAAUUUGCGCUGAAACGCUGACAGUUUUUUUACUAGUGAACGACUGACGUUUGACAUUCGAUUGAGAGUGUUCUGUGUUCCAUUUGUUUAUGUUUUUAUUCUUUGUUUAUAUAAUUUAUAACCUAAACCUAGACGGUUUUGUUUUUAUUUUAAAUAAAACUGAAACUGUCUAAACUAAAAUGGAUAAUAUUCUUGAAGAACUUUUGUUUGGGGACGAAAUUAGCAAAUGCCGUUAUACAUUUAGCAGAUGUACCUACCUCAAAUUAUUCCAGAAGGAUGAGAUGAAAUUAAAUAUAUAUAAACCAUAAUUCAAUAUCCAAUUUAGAGAACAUUUUCGUAUGUCCAGAACUACUUUCCAGGAACUAUUUAAUUGUAUUGGUCAUAUCCACCAAUUUGAAAACAGAAUAAUUCUAUUGGAAAAAAUUAAUGUUUAUGAUGUGGAUGCUAAGUAAACCAGAUAAUUUGUUGCUGGGGAUACGUUUGGUUUGCCAAAGAGCUCUGGACAUAAGAUUUUCACCCAAAUAAUAUAGAAUUACAAAAAAUUGGAAAUAACUAAUCUUGAAUAUCAAUGUGUAUAUUGAGUUUAAUUUUAUUGUAAAUAUUCUAUAAUAUAAUUUUAUUGUAAAUAUUGUAUUAACACAUUUGUGGACACAUUUUCAUAUGCAGACAGUAAUUUCCCUUUGUAAGUACAUGCAUAUAUAGUCGUAUCUGCGAAUGGGUUAAUUGUAAAUCGUAAUCAAUAAAAAUUUUUUGUGAAUCAAUAAAAAACUGGUUUGUUUGAAAAUAAAUGUAGUACAAAUGUG